rnacentral:rRNA from 1 species
AGCGUUGGCACCACCUGAUCCCAUCCCGAACUCAGCAGUGAAACGAUGCAUCGCCGAUGGUAGUGUGGGGUUUCCCCAUGUGAGAGUAGGUCAUCGUCAAGA